GAAACGAUGCUGGCUGGUAGAGAUGUCAAAUGGGCCUCAUGUCCAUGGGUGAACCAUGUCCAAACCCAUUUGGACUAACCAAAUUAGACCCAUAAAUAAAGCUGUCCAAUUGGGUCGAUGUCCAAUAAAUCCCGAAUUCGAUGGGCUUAACCAUCUGGACAUGGGCGGCCCAAUGAUCUAAAAAAACUAGGGUUUUCAUUUGGGGAAAAAUUCAGAUCGUGAUUCUCUCUCUCUCAAACCGUCUCUCUCUCUCAGUCUCGAUUCUCUCUCUCUCGAUUCAGCGAACUCGGCGACGAUCCUCCUCUCUCGGCUCUCGAUCCGCCUCUCCCGACUCUCUAUCCGCCUCUCCCGACUCUCGAUCCGCCUCUCCCGACUCUCGAUCCGCCUCUCUCGACUCUCUAUCCGUCAACUUCUGAAAAGGGUUUGCGUUUAGGGUUCUUCGUUUCGCUUCAGUCUCGGGCCUUUCGGCUCUCUUAGUCUUCUAGAUCAAAGAAGCUCUCUCGUCCCGCCUCUCACUCGCGUCUGAAUCGUCUCCGAUCGAAGAACCAUAUACAUCUCCCGUCUCCGGCUCAAGCUCUCGUCUCUCAGCUUGAGUCUCACUCUCCUGGAUCGAAGAACAUUCGACCCUUUCACUCUCAGUGUCUCGAGUCUCUUACUUUCUCGCCUCUCAGAUGGAUACAUUGAGUUUGAACAAUGAUGAUGACUACAUGAGUGACAAUGGGGAUUCAGAACAGGAAAUGGACGAGAACAAUCCUGUGGUGGACGAGUCUCUGAUGAGUACAGCCGAGGUGAAAGGUAAACACAAGCGUAGACACUCUAAGUGCUGGAACUUUUUUACUAUAGAAGGAGAUAGGAUGCCUGAUGGAAAAUUUAAAUGCGUCUGCAACUACUGUAACCACUUCUACAUCAUAGACUUACAUAGAAGUGGAACCACUACUCUGCUUCGCCACUCAAGAACCUGCUCUAAAACCCCUAAUAAUACAUGUCCUAAGAUCAAUCAGCUGGUGUUUCGAGA